AUUUAAAUAGCUUAAAUUUAGAGCAUAAUAUUGAAGCUAUUAAAGUGAUUAUUAUAAUCUUUAAAUA
rnacentral:tRNA from 1 species